AUGGCAGAGGGGGGUAGAAUUCCACGUGUAGCAGUGAAAUGCGUAGAGAUGUGGAGGAAUACCGAUGGCGAAGGCAGCCCCCUGGGCCAAUACUGACGCUCAUGCACGAAAGCGUGGGGAGCAAACAGGAUUAGAUACCCCUGGUAGUCCACGCCCUAAACGAUGUCAACUAGUUGUCGGGUCUUCAUUGACUUGGUAACGUAGCUAACGCGUGAAGUUGACCGCCUGGGGAGUACGGUCGCAAGAUUAAAACUCAAAGGAAUUGANCGGGGACCCGCACAAGCGGUGGAUGAUGUGGAUUAAUUCGAUGCAACGCGAAAAACCUUACCUACCCUUGACAUGUACGGAAGUCUGCCGAGAGGUGGAUGUGCUCGAAAGAGAACCGUAACACAGGUGCUGCAUGGCUGUCGUCAGCUCGUGUCGUGAGAUGUUGGGUUAAGUCCCGCAACGAGCGCAACCCUUGUCCCUAGUUGCUACGCAAGAGCACUCUAGGGAGACUGCCGGUGACAAACCGGAGGAAGGUGGGGAUGACGUCAAGUCCUCAUGGCCCUUAUGGGUAGGGCUUCACACGUCAUACAAUGGUCGGAACAGAGGGUUGCCAAGCCGCCGAGGUGGAGCCAAUCCCAGAAAACCGAUCGUAGUCCGGAUCGCACUCUGCAAACUCGAGUGCGUGAAGUCUGGAAUCGCCUAGUAAUCGCGGAUCAGCAUG
rnacentral:rRNA from 1 species